rnacentral:rRNA from 1 species
AGUGAACGCUGGCGGUAUGCCUAACACAUGCAAGUCGAACGAGUGGCGGACGGGUGAGGGAUACAUCAGCAUCUACUCUGUCGUGGGGGAUAACGUAGGGAAACUUACGCUAAUACCGCAUACGAUUGUAUGAGCCGAUGUCGGAUUAGCUAGUUGGCGGGGUAAAGGCCCACCAAGGCGACGAUCCGUAGCUGGUCUGCGAGGAUGAUCAGCCCCACUGGAACUGAGACACGGUCCAGACUCCUACGGGAGGCAGCAGUGGGGAAUCUUGGGCAAUGGGCGAAAGCCUGAUCCAGCCAUGCCGCGUGUGUGAAGAAGGUCUUCGGAUUGUAAAGCACUUUAGGUUGGGAGGCGGUACCUACAGAAUAAGCACCGGCUAACUUCGUGCCAGCAGCCGCGGUAAUUC